UACGGGGGGAGCAAGCGUUGUUCGGAUUUACUGGGCGUAAAGGGCGCGUAGGCGGCCACUGCAAGUCAGUUGUGAAAUCUCCGGGCUUAACCCGGAAAGGUCAGCUGAUACUGCAGGGCUAGAGUGCAGAAGGGGCAACUGGAAUUCUCGGUGUAGCGGUGAAAUGCGUAGAUAUCGAGAGGAACACCUGCGGCGAAGGCGGGUUGCUGGGCUGACACUGACGCUGAGGAGCGAAAGCGUGGGGAGCGAACAGG
rnacentral:rRNA from 1 species